CCUACGGGGGGCAGCAGUCGAGGAUCUUCGUCAAUGGUCGAAAGACUGAACGAGCGACGCCGCGUGCGCGAUGAAGGCCUUCGGGUUGUAAAGCGCGAAAGUGGGGACGAAGCCGAAAGGUUGACCGAUCCACAGUAAGCUCGGGCUAAGUUCGUGCCAGCAGCCGCGGUAAGACGAACCGAGCGAACGUUAUUCGGAAUCACUGGGCUUAAAGGGCGCGUAGGUGGGUAUCCAAGUCUGUGGUGAAAUCCGGCAGCUCAACUGUCGAAUUGCCG
rnacentral:rRNA from 1 species